rnacentral:rRNA from 1 species
UACGUAGGGAGCAAGCGUUGUCCGGAAUCACUGGGCGUAAAGCGCACGUAGGCGGGUCGUUAAGUCAGGGGUGAAAUCCUGGAGCUCAAUUCCAGAACUGCCUUUGAUACUGAAGAUCUUGAGUUCGGGAGAGGUGAGUGGAACUGCGAGUGUAGAGGUGAAAUUCGUAGAUAUUCGCAAGAACACCAGUGGCGAAGGCGGCUCACUGGCCCGAUACUGACGCUGAGGCACGAAAGCGUGGGGAGCAAACAGG